GGGCACGUGGUCCAGUGGCAGGGCGGGUCUCCCGGGAUUGUGGAAACGGACCGGGUGUCCAGACCCAGGUUCGAUUCCUGGCGUGCUCC